UACGUAGGGUGCGAGCAUUGUCCGGAAUUAUUGGGCGUAAAGAGCUCGUAGGCGGUCUGUCGCGUCGGUCGUGAAAACCUGCAGCUUAACUGUGGGCGUGCGGUCGAUACGGGCAUGACUGGAGUUCGGCAGGGGAGACUGGAAUUCCUGGUGUAGCGGUGAAAUGCGCAGAUAUCAGGAGGAACACCGGUGGCGAAGGCGGGUCUCUGGGCCGAUACUGACGCUGAGGAGCGAAAGCGUGGGGAGCGAACAGG
rnacentral:rRNA from 1 species